AACUUCUUUUGUGGUGUUUGAUUCAAUAUUUUUUGCCAUGUUAUUUUGCUAAAGGAAAAAAAGUGAAAAAUACAUGUUGGCAAAGCCAUGGAAAUUAGACAUUAUGACUACUUGGUUCAUGAUAGUUGGCAUGUGUAAAUUGGUGGAAAGAGCAAUAUGAACUGGCAAUGGAUUAACAUAAAGCUUUAUUACAUAUGUGAGUGGACAUAGUUACUAGAGCUUGUCGGGCAGUAAGAGUGCUUAGUUUGACAUUUUGUUUUGGUCUCCUUAAUUAAUAACAUGAAUUGGAAUUAAUUUAAAUUGCAUGGAUUUGUUUGAUUUCUAGCUUUUUCACGACUAUGUUCCUUCUGAUGCA
rnacentral:misc_RNA from 1 species